rnacentral:lncRNA from 1 species
UGAUGGGUGUUGCCGCCCAAUCAAAUUUGAUUGCAUAAUAAGAAAUGCAGUAUAGCUAGGAAGUGACUCCUAGGUCGUCUCUCAAGGACUAAUUUUGCGGUUCAGAAUCGAGUCUAACACGAAGUGGGGGGUUUGUGAAAGGUUUGCAUGGUGAAUGCAGAAAAAUUAAAAUGAAAUUAAAUUAAAACGCAGAUGUAAAAACGUAAUUAAAUUCAAUUAAAACGAAAUUAAAUGCAACAACACAUUUCACCAUGCAUGAAAAUGAAAUUAAAACAGUAAAAACGAAACUGCUACAGUAAAUACAAAAAUUCACGCUGGAACAGGACAACUCUGACCUUUGCUCAAUGUUUUAUACAUAACUUUUUCUACAGAGCUCUAAAUGAGAUGAGG